CUUGUUCUCUCCGGCGCAGCUGCAGAUGAGAGAGAGCGUGGCCUGCCAGUGGCGAUAGAGGGGGAGAGAGGGGACCGACGGCGGAGCGGGGACGGAGGCGGCGGGAGAGGGAGAGAGAGACGCCGAGCGAUGGAGCGGGGGCGGCGGGAGAGGGGGAGAUAGGCGGCCGGCGCGACGGCGACGGAGGGAGCUGCUCGCCGAUGCACUGCCGCAUCGGCAAUGGUGGGUCGUUGGGAUUCCAGCCGUCCGGCGCGUCGUCGCCAUCGAUGGGGUCAUCGUCGGUGUCGUGAGCAGGUGGUUCGCACAUCCUCGUCGUCGAUGGGGUCAUCGUCGGCCCGACAGCGGCGCCGGUCGUCGGCGCUGCCGACUCCGCCCCACCACGCCGCCUCCGACUCCGCCCCACCACCCGUCGCCUCUGCUCCUCUUCACCAUGCCAGAUCCGGUGGGCCGCGCCGUCAACUCUGCCCCAUGGCACCGCCGACGACUCUGGUGGGCUGCGCCAUCGACUCUGCCCCAGGCGCAUCACGACUGCUAACCGCGUGCACGUGCUCGCGGGCGGCGUCGGCGUCCAUGGACGUGGAGCCUUGCCUAGACGACGCUCUCGGCCACUCCUUCUGCUACGCCGCCGCCGCCACAGCCAAUGCGCACUCCUUGUCGUUCCGCCACGCAUCUCCGGUGCCACGCUCUCCGCCGACCGCCUCUCCCCCAUCUGCAGUUGCGCCGGAGAGAACAAGGAGAGAAGAGAAGAGAAAAAGAAAAGAGACAUUUAUGUGGGCCCACGUGCUUUUUUAAUUUCUUUUUUGCUGACGUGGCAUCCUAGUUUAAGGGUUUAGAGGUUUUAAUAUUUUUUACUGCCUUAGGACACAUUUCUAAUAUUUUUUAGGGGUACACAUUUCUAAUUUUAUGGUUUAUGUAAAGUUGAGGGACAGCCGGUGAACUUAUUCCCCGUCGAGGGCGCCGCCGUGCAGGGGAUCCGCGACCCAGAUCCUCGACCGGCGGACGCCUCCUCGACACCGAGCAGCUCUUCCGCCGCGGCGGGGAGAAGACAAAGAAGUGGCCCGUACUCAUCCCCGAGGAGGAGCUCGCCAUGUCGUUCCCGGGCAUCAAGGGUACCCCACUUUGUGGAGUGUCCGUGUCUCCCCGAAAUCCCCGUCCCCGGCCGCGGCCGUCUCUCCCCGCUGCUGUACUUCGCCGCCGCCGCCGUGCCAACUCUGACUGCGUUUCCGAGACGGUGAGGAGGCUGCUGCUGCUGCUGCUGUUCUCGCGACCGACCGAGAGGCUUCUCCUCCUCCUCCUCUGCCCUACGCCGCCACGCGCUCGCUCGAUCGAGCCGCUCCACGCCGCCGUCGUCGGCAGCGGCCCCGCCGCCGUUGGGUUCGACAUGGCCGUAAGAUGCUUAAUUUAAGGUUCAUGAAGGAGCACAAGUCGAUACUAUUAGUGAUAAGCUGCCAACACAUUCCAGCUUAGUCCGUUCUGAAGUGGCUCCAUAUCAUCCAUAAAUAAAUGUGAGCAUUCUCAUUAGUUUUUUUAUCAUCAAACGUCAGCCAUAAAGAAAACAACAGUCUCCAUGUGUUGAGAUCAACCAGGUGGAGUUUAUACCAAAUCCAGUGGAUCCACAUGCACGUAUGUAUAUAUGCUCCUAGAAUUUAAAUGUGUUUUUGACAAGUUUGCUAUAUGUUCCUUUGGCAGCCAAAGGAAGCUAAGAAUGCACCCAAGAACACCUUACCCAAGUACAUCCCAUAGAAUUUAGGGACCAUUCACUUAUUAGUCAAACUGAUAUACUGAAAGGUGAAUAACUAACGUGUAGAAAAAAAAAGGCAAAGGAGCACAGCAAAAUGACACAGAUCAUACGCUUUUACUACCAAAAAAAAACAUAGAGCAUAUAUUGUCACUCGAAGGUUCUAGUAUGAGCUUAACAAGAUCGCAUCCAAAAACAUCACAAAUGAAAUUGUAAUUUAUACAACCUUUUGAGCACAAUCAAAUCAUGCACACAUCUUAACAGAGAGGUUCUCAUGGUAUGUAUCUCUCUCCCCACUUAUUUGGCACAAAAACAGGAAUUUCCAACACACUUGUCGCAUAAUCAAGUGCAAUACCUUUCAGACGCAUUAUGCCUGCCCAGUAAAUUUCUUGAUAAGAAGAAGUCAUCUUAUGCGGAAACAGGACAACAGAGUAUAAGAAAAUAUGGAUGGCGAGAUUCUGCUAUAGAAGUGCCGGUAGCUCUCCAACAGUCAUGCAUCUAUUAGCUCCAUCUCGCCAGUUGCUCCAUCCUCCAUUAUUAAAAAGAUAACUUUAAUCAGUACAGUGCACUCAAUAGAAAAAAAAAGAAUGUUUUAAACUUCACAAUAUAUUCUGGCAGCAGUUGGGUAGAGUGUAAGUCUUAUUUGCUGUUUAAAUUUUAAUCUAUGUCAGGAUACAAGUUCUUUUGCUUAUUAAAUUUUAAACUGUCUAAAGCAUAUGUAAUUACUACAGGUUAAGGAUGUACUGUAACCGGCUAAGGUUUGGAAGCAACUAAUUAAUGGAAACAGUAUGUACAGAAAGUUGUGCUUGUGCAGGUAGCUGAUGAUGAUAUAUACUCAUAUAGGAUGCAAACUAGUUCAGGACACAAUGGUUUCUUCUAGGUCAGGUAGAAAAAGAAAAUCUUGGUAAGAGCUGGAAGGGAAAUUUUUGGAUUUAUCACAUACAUACCAUAAAGACUCAGAGACUGAAUCCUUUAACUUUCAUAUCACAUACAUAUCAUGAAAUCUA